UUUCUUCCUCUCCGUAAUCUACAAGACAAUAUUCCUGCAUUUCUUUUUGUUCUUUUCUGCCUGGUUGUAUUCCUUGCACUAAUUGUAACACUUAAAUUCUGACACAGUACAUUGUACAGGCAAAAACAUAAUUCAGCAGGCUAUUUUGUCAUUUGUUUUUAUUGUAACACUUAAAUUCUGAUAUUGAGUUAAGAAAAAGGAAAAUCAUUAAAAAAAAU
rnacentral:lncRNA from 1 species